GGCUCAGGACGAACGCUGGCGGCGUGCUUAACACAUGCAAGUCGAGCGAUGAAGCUUCUUCGGAAGUGGAUUAGCGGCGGACGGGUGAGUAACACGUGGGUAACCUACCUCAUAGAGGGGAAUAGCCUUCCGAAAGGAAGAUUAAUACCGCAUAAGAUUGUAAUAUCGCAUGAUAUAGCAAUUAAAGGAGCAAUCCGCUAUGAGAUGGACCCGCGUCGCAUUAGCUAGUUGGUGAGGUAACGGCCCACCAAGGCGACGAUGCGUAGCCGACCUGAGAGGGUGAUCGGCCACAUUGGGACUGAGACACGGCCCAGACUCCUACGGGAGGCAGCAGUGGGGAAUAUUGCACAAUGGGGGAAACCCUGAUGCAGCCAACGCCGCGUGAGUGAUGACGGUCUUCGGAUUGUAAAGCUCUGUCUUCAGGGACGAUAAUGACGGUACCUGAGGAGGAAGCCACGGCUAACUACGUGCCAGCAGCCGC
rnacentral:rRNA from 1 species